rnacentral:lncRNA from 1 species
GUACAUCCGGCCGCUUCACCGUUCUCGGAAUAAUUUAAUUUUCUGAGGAAGCGCGCGCGGGACGACAAAGCCGACGACCACCGACGGAACGCCGGAACGCCACCGCUUCCCUUCUUCCACGGGGACAUCAUCAUCAGCCCAUGGCGCAAAUCUCGAUCGCUAAUGACCAAUGGAGCCCGAGCUCCAUGCAUGGAGCUUCGUUUUAAAAUAUCAUUCUCUACACCUCGAAAAAUUUCGAUAUUUUUAACAAAGAUACAUACACUUGUAUAUUAUGUAUGUGCAAAAUUUCAUAAUUCACGUUUGUCCUAACAAAGAAGACAAGUAUGUAUUUCCAAAGGACACCGAUAACCACCGAACGUUCGGCGUGGAGGCACCCCAGCCCUAACGAAUCGCUCGUGCUGGAAGGGUCGCUGGAACGAACAAACUCGUUCUGUAGAAGUACCCCUCCAGCCCGAACGAUCCCACAUCGCACAACCUUGUCGCUAGCGAUUUGGCUCCUCCCCUCCAGCGAACCAGCCCAAAAUGGGAUGAGCCCAGAAACGUCAUUGCCUUCAAGAAUUAAAAAAAAAUAAAGAAUUACAAUAUUGAAGGCCCAAAACUGCUUCUGUCCUAAAAAAGGAGAACACACGAAAAGGCCUAAAAAUGCACUGGAUGAAGAAAAACACUGCCUGAAAAAAAUCCAGAAACAAAAAGUUGCCAUCCUUUAAUGAACAAAACUACCAUACGAUCAUGAAAAAAAGGUAUAUUACAGAAAUGAUUUGCCAUGAUGUUCAUGCACACUUCAUGGCAAAUGAGUGUGGAAAUUUUGCCAAGAUAUUAUGAAAACACACAAAAAAACAGAAAAAAUGGCCAUAUAAGAUAGAACAAAAAGAUUUGUACAAAAAUUGCCAUUGUGCAUGUAUAGAAAAAAUUGGACCCCGAUAACCACCGACCAUUCGGUCUGGGGACAUCCCAAACCGAACCUUUUGUUCGGUAAAUCAGCUCCCUCGCGACGAACGUUUUUGUUCGAUCGAAAGAGCUCUCCUUCCCAAACGACCUCGCUCCCUCCCCUCCAACGGACCAGCCCAGCCCAGAAACACAAUUGCCUUCAAGAAUUAAAAACAAAUUACAAUAUUUGUAGGCCCCAAAACUGCCAUGUUUUUGUACAUAUUAAUUUGCCAUGGCAAGUUUGCCAUGUUUCUGAACAUAUUAAGUUGACAUGGCAAGUUUGGCAUGUUUUUGAACAUCUAUAAACUUUGCCAUGUUUCUGAAAAUCAUAUCUUGCCAUGGUAAAUUUGCCAUGUUUUCAAAUAAAAAGGUGCCACCGCAAAUCACAUGAAUUUUGUCAUAUAGAGCCUUAUAUAGUAUGAAUUUGCUAUUGUUUAUGAACAAGGACAUAGAUGAAAUUGCCAUGAACUUUGCAAGUAUCAACUACAACACAUCCUGAACCAAGGUAUAUUUAUCCAUGGCAAAUAAAUAGUAAAACUUGCCAUGGCAAUAAAAGUUCAAUAUUGCCAUAGCGAUUUAGGUAAAUUUGCCAUGUUAAUAAAAGUCCAAAAAAUAGUAAAACUUGCCAUGGCAAUAAAAGUUAAAUAUUGCCAUGGGGACUUAGGUGAAUUUGCCAUGUUAAUAAAGGUAAAUUUGCCAUGGAAAAUAAAUAGUAAAACUUGCCAUGGCAAUAAAGUGUUAAAAUUGCCAUGGGGAUGUAGGUAAUUUUGCCAUGUUAAUGAAGGUGAAAUAAUUAGUAAAACUUGCCAUGGCAAUAUUUGCCAUUUUGUGUUGUUUUCGACAAUUUAAAGAAUUGCCGCGGAAAUUUAAAAAAUCAAAAGCUGCCAUGGCAAGAAAGCAAUGAAUUCGCCAUGAUUCGAGAACUAAAUUUGCCAUGAUUCGAUAACUAUGUUUGCCAUCUUACAGGAAGCAAGUUUGGUAUGAUGCGUAAACUAAAUUUUGCCACGAUCAAUCAAUUUUUUUUAAUGUUUACAUGGCAAAAAGUAUAAGAUUAGUUGCCAUGGUUGAAAAUAGUAAAUUUGCGCUAUGAUCCAAAAUCGAAAGUUGCCAUGGCAAGAAAGCAAUGAUUUUUCCAUGAUCCGAGAACUGAAUUUACCAUCAUUUGAUAACUAUAUUUCCCAUCUUUCAGGAAAAUUUUAAAAAAUUGUACAGUGAGACGGCAAAUUUAAGAAAAAAUGUAUCAUACAGUACAUGUUUAGUUCUGAAUCAUUCUCUCUAAAUGAAAAGCAGCUUUGAUUACUCCAUAUCCCUUUUCAGCUUAAUUAUCGCUGAUGUUGUUCAACGAAGAUGACCACAAACUCUAAAAAUCCCUUUCCCCACUACAGAUUCAGCGCACAUAGCCUGAUCAAUCCAGCCACAAAUCAUUUAUUUUCUUCUCAAAACUCAUAGCCUAUCACCACCACAACAAAAUCUAGGGACACAAAAAUACCAUUCUGUCUUGGAAGACUAGUAUGUAUCUCUGUUUUGUUCAGAUCACACAAAACAAAUGAUUCAGUCAGUAGAGUGGCAAAACUUGAAAAAUUGUUAUAAGAACAAAUUUUUAACUUGCCAUCAUACCAAUACUAAAUAAUGUCUAGCAAUUGCCACGACUAUAAACCAUUUUACUAUCAUUUUUGUACUUUUUUUGUUUUUUAUUGUUGUAAUAUAGCAUAAUGUACAAAAUCCCAUAAUUGUUAACUUUACAUUUCACUGGCAAACUAUGCAAAUUUGCCAUGGAUUUUGAUUCAAAUUGGUUAUAUUUCAAAAAUGCAAGGCAAACAAUUUCUAAAUCUUGCCAUCUGAUAUUUGCCAUUGAAAUAUAGGACGUGUUGCCAACAUUUUGACAUGAACUUGAUCGAAAGCCCUUAACUCCACACUCUACCAGAACCAGAUGAGCUUCUCACACGCUCAGUGGAUGUGCGAACUUGAAAUCUCCGUGGUCAAGAGCUAUGCACAAUUCGUAUGAAAACAACUGAGAAACAUGGCAUACCUCAGGACACCAUCUCUUCGUUGACAGCCAGCUCGGGCGCCAUAGGUAAUAGACAUGGGAUGGCUAGUCCAGCGAGCCGCCCCGUCCUUGCGCAGUUCAAACUCGUGAACGCCAAGUUGGAGCUCCGUGGUGGCCACCACGAAGUGCGCGGCCACCGCCGACGGAAGCAGUGCCACCACGCAGCGUAGGUCUCCGGCUACAUCUCGACACCCGCCGCACCUAAAUGCGGCAAUCUCCAGCGCAGCUCCUUCGCCGCGCCUCCUCUCCGUCGCCCCCGCCGCACCUAAGCACGGCCAUCUCCAUCACAGCUCAUUCGCCGGGCCUCCUCUCCGCCGCCACCGCUGCAACCGGCGGUUCCUCCCCACGCUAGCGCUCGGGCUCUCCAUCCGGGAUCCGUCGGAGCACAACCAAGGGGCCUCCUCAGCCUCCUCCCCCAUGGCCGCAAGCCGCAACACCUCGAGGACGGCGUAGCCCGCCUUGUCUCCGCCGCGGGACACCCCCGAUGUUGGGUACGGUGGAGCUGCUAGACGGCGUUCUUCCAACUCCUCGUCUCCAUCGCCCCCUGGCUCCUUUCUGACGUCCCCUGCCUCGUCGCCGGCGCAAGACAGUUCUCCACGAGGCGAGUGUGUGGGAUGCGAGUGAGCGGUGGAGAAGGGACUGGGAGAGGAUAAG